GAUGAACGCUGGCGGCGUGCCUAAUACAUGCAAGUCGAGCGAACAGACGAGGAGCUUGCUCCUCUGACGUUAGCGGCGGACGGGUGAGUAACACGUGGAUAACCUACCUAUAAGACUGGGAUAACUUCGGGAAACCGGAGCUAAUACCGGAUAAUAUAUUGAACCGCAUGGUUCAAUAGUGAAAGACGGUUUUGCUGUCACUUAUAGAUGGAUCCGCGCCGCAUUAGCUAGUUGGUAAGGUAACGGCUUACCAAGGCAACGCUGCGUAGCCGACCUGAGAGAGUGAUCGGCCACACUGGAACUGGGACACGGUCCAGGCGCCUACGGGAGGCAGCAGUAGGGAAUCGUCCGCAAUGGGCGAAAGCCUGACGGAGCAACGCCGCGUGAGUGAUGAAGGUCUUCGGAUCGUAAAACUCUGUUAUUAGGGAAGAACAAAUGUGGAAGUAACUAUGCACGUCUUGACGGUACCUAAUCAGAAAGCCACGGCUAACUACGUG
rnacentral:rRNA from 1 species